UACAGAGGUCUCAAGCGUUGUUCGGAUUCAUUGGGCGUAAAGGGUGCGUAGGCGGCGCGGUAAGUCGGGUGUGAAAUCUCGGAGCUUAACUCCGAAACUGCAUUCGAUACUGCCGUGCUUGAGGACUGGAGAGGAGACUGGAAUUUACGGUGUAGCGGUGAAAUGCGCAGAUAUCAGGAGGAACACCAAUGGCGAAGGCAGCUCGCUGGGACGGUACUGACGCUGAGACGCGAAAGCGUGGGGAGCAAACAGG
rnacentral:rRNA from 1 species